UACGUAGGCAGCGAGCGUUGUUCGGAGUUACUGGGCGUAAAGGGUGUGUAGGCGGUUUUCUAAGUCUGGUGUGAAAUCUCCCGGCUCAACUGGGAGGGUGCGCCGAAAACUGGAAGGCUAGAGUACUGGAUGGGUAAGUGGAAUUCCUGGUGUAGCGGUGAAAUGCGUAGAUAUCAGGAGGAACACCUGUGGUGUAGGCGGCUUACUGGACAGUAACUGACGCUGAGACACGAAAGCGUGGGUAGCAAACAGG
rnacentral:rRNA from 1 species